rnacentral:rRNA from 1 species
CCUACGGGCGGCUGCAGUGGGGAAUCUUAGACAAUGGGCGCAAGCCUGAUCUAGCCAUGCCGCGUGAGCGAUGAAGGCCUUAGGGUUGUAAAGCUCUUUCAGGGGGGAAGAUAAUGACUGUACCCCCAGAAGAAGCCCCGGCUAACUCCGUGCCAGCAGCCGCGGUAAUACGGAGGGGGCUAGCGUUGUUCGGAAUUACUGGGCGUAAAGCGCACGUAGGCGGACUGGAAAGUUGGGGGUGAAAUCCCGGGGCUCAACCCCGGAACUGCCUUCAAAACUUCCGGUCUUGAGGUCGAGAGAGGUGAGUGGAAUUCCGAGUGUAGAGGUGAAAUUCGUAGAUAUUCGGAGGAACACCAGUGGCGAAGGCGGCUCACUGGCUCGAUACUGACGCUGAGGUGCGAAAGCGUGGGGAGCAAACAGGAUUAGAUACCCCGGUAGUC